rnacentral:SRP_RNA from 1 species
AUGCACUAUACGGGGUGGUAGCGGUACCUUGUAGCCUGCAAUCCGCUAUAGCAGGGUAGAAUUCCCGGCUGAGGUCUUUAAUAUGUUGAGCUGCUCUUAGAAAGUGGUGAUGACGGAAGGGUCUUACGCAAUGAAAACCUAUGAACCAUGUCAGGUCCGGAAGGAAGCAGCAUUAAGUAGUCAUUUUCAUGUGCCGUAAGGCAGCCUUUCCCGAGCAAACUGCUAAGAUUCCGUCAGGGUGUUAUCGAUCGAAGCCGGGUGUGCUU